rnacentral:rRNA from 1 species
UACGUAGGAUGCUAGCGUUAUCCGGAUUUACUGGGCGUAAAGCGCCCGUAGGCGGCCUGACAAGUUGGACGUGAAAGCUCCUGGCUUAACUGGGAGAGGCCGUUCAAAACUGUCAAGCUAGAGUCUGGAAGAGGAGAGCGGAAUUCCCGGUGUAGUGGUGGAAUGCGUAGAGAUCGGGAGGAACACCAGUGGCGAAAGCGGCUCUCUGGUCCAAAACUGACGCUGAGGGGCGAAAGCGUGGGGAGCGAACGGG